AAUGGAUGGCGCUUGAGCGAGGGACCUAUACCCAGCCGUUGCUGGCUUGUGCGUUGUCUAGCGCCUGGCCGCAACGAGUAGGAGGGUCGUGGCGGUUGCGUCGAAGGCUUUGGGCGUAGGCCCAGCUGGAGCUUCCGUCAGUGCAGAUCUCGGUGGUAGUAGCAAAUAUUUAAGUUCGAUCCUUGAAGACUGAAGUGGAGAAGGGUUCCACGUGAACAGUAGUUGAAUGUGGGUCAGUCGAUCCUAAGAUACUGGCUUAUGCCUUGUAUCAUUGAGAGGGAAAAGUUUCUUUUCUCUCGGAUAUCAAAAGGGAAUAGGGUUAAUAUUCCCUAACGCAGACACAGAGAUUGCGGCUCUUUGAGUCGCUUGCGCGGUAACGCAUUCGAACUUGGUUACGUCGCUCAGAGACCGAGCUAGAGUUCUCUUCUCUAGUUAAGGAACGGACUCCCUGGAAUCGGUUCAGCCGUAGAUAGGGACGUUGUUUCCGUAAAGCAUCGCGGUUUCUGUGAUGUCUCGUGUUCUUUGGACGGCCCUUGAAAAACCAAGGAAGGCUAUCAAUCUGUGCUGCAUCGUACCGAUAUCCGCAUCA
rnacentral:rRNA from 1 species